UACGUAGGGCGCAAGCGUUAUCCGGAAUUAUUGGGCGUAAAGAGCUCGUAGGCGGUUUGUCGCGUCUGCUGUGAAAGACCGGGGCUCAACUCCGGUUCUGCAGUGGGUACGGGCAGACUAGAGUGAUGUAGGGGAGACUGGAAUUCCUGGUGUAGCGGUGAAAUGCGCAGAUAUCAGGAGGAACACCCGUGGCGAAAGCGGCUCUCUGGGACGGUACUGACGCUGAGACGCGAAAGCGUGGGGAGCAAACAGG
rnacentral:rRNA from 1 species